AUUUUGCUAGUUUUGAGCAUAACAAUUUUUUCGUGUAUGAGUUUUGUUUUUGUGCAGCCCGCCAUUUUGGCCAAAAUAAUAUUUUUGUUCCGCUGACAAUUUUAUUGUGAAAACGACGUGAUUUUUAGCAGUUCCGCGGCGCCGCUUCUACAGCGAAAAUGGGCGGAGGCAUUUGCGACUACUUGGGUACGAUGACAGAUUGGCCACAAGAAUCUAUCAAAAACCACCCCAAACCAGUUGCUUCACUGGUUCACACCCAUUGCAGUAUGAGGACAACGAUUCCGGUAAUUUUCCGAGUGACAAAGCUAUUGGGGGUGCUGGAACUUCGUCCGAGCUUCCUCCACCAAUUCGUUCGCCACCAGUUCCGGAAACGGUAUUCAAACUUAUUGUUAUAGACAACCUGGUUGCAUACCUGUGUCCACGGAAAUAAGCUAUGUAAACGCCGUAGUAAAAAAUCAUCUGUCUUCACUAAAGGAAUUCUCAAUCUGGAUGAUAUGCUGGAACGGAAUGGAACGGAUGAUAUGCUGGAACGAAACAAGCGGGCUCCUGAAAAGUAUUGCCUCGACGUACUAAUGUGGCAAUGAGCAUCAUGGAGUGUGUCUCAUACUCUGUGUACAUCAAUAUUGUUAAUGUGGACAAAUUAUACUGUAACCGAGCGUCGGGAACCAGUAAUUCGAACUCCAGGUUUGGAUCAGAUUGGGCAGCCUAUUUGCGACAGUUCUUGGUUCAGAAAUCUCCCGUCAAUGCAAAACAGUCAGUUUUGCAACAG